rnacentral:rRNA from 1 species
UGGGGAAUUGUUCGCAAUGGGCGAAAGCCUGACGACGCAACGCCGCGUGGAGGAUGAAGAUCUUCGGGUCGUAAACUCCUUUCGAUCGGGACGAAUGAUCGGUGACCUAACACGUCAUCGGACUGACGGUACCGAGAGAAGAAGCCCCGGCUAACCCCGUGCCAGCAGCCGCGGUAAUACAGAGGUCUCAAGCGUUGUUCGGAUUCAUUGGGCGUAAAGGGUGUGUAGGUGGCGCCGUAAGUCGGGUGUGAAAUUUCGGAGCUUAACUCCGAAACUGCAUUCGAUACUGCGGUACUUGAGGACUGGAGAGGAGACUGGAAUUUACGGUGUAGCAGUGAAAUGCGUAGAUAUCGUAAGGAAGACCAGUGGCGAAGGCGGGUCUCUGGACAGUUCCUGACACUGAGACACGAAGGCCAGGGGAGCAAAC